rnacentral:tRNA from 1 species
GGCGAGGUAGCUCAGCUGGUUAGAGCGCAGGAUUCAUAAUCCUGAGGUCGGGAGUUCAAGUCUCCCUCUCGCUA